UACGUAGGGUGCAAGCGUUAAUCGGAAUUACUGGGCGUAAAGCGUGCGCAGGCGGUUUUGUAAGUCUGUCGUGAAAUCCCCGGGCUCAACCUGGGAAUUCGCGAUGGAGACGUGCAAGGCUAGAAUCUGGCAGAGGGGGGGUAGAAUUCCACGGUGUAGCAGUGAAAUGCGUAGAGAUGUGGAGGAACACCGAUGGCGAAG
rnacentral:rRNA from 1 species